rnacentral:misc_RNA from 1 species
GAGAGAGAGAGAGAGAGAGAUGAAGCCUUAAGGGCAUUAUUUAUCACUGAAAUUAGAUGAAGCCUUAAGGCCAUUAUUUAUCACUGAAAUUAUUGCAUAUUUUGUGUUCUAAAAGCUAAAAAGGGUCAUAGUGCAAACCAAUAGAAGAAAUCAAUGGCACUCCUCUUGACUCCAAAAACUUAAUCUUCACAAUUUUGCCAUAAACAACUUGUUUCUUUUCAAGCUUAUGGAGCCUCUUGUACCCCACUGUAGUCCCUUUUGCAACCUUCUUUCCAUCUACAUAAAUUUCAUGCCGUUUGAUCCUCUGACCAAGAGCAAUUGCUUCUUGAAUCCUAAUGACGUUAAACCUUAAACUUUCAUUGCAUCGAAUUUCAAUCCAACUACCCUCUUUUUCUUCAUCUCUUGGAACCCAAUAUGUCCACAAAUGGUCACUGUCUAUCACAUUUUCUGCUCCAAAACCACCAUCUUUACCUCCUCUCUGGCUACUAACUUUUAUCAAGCAUUUCUCUGCCAAAUUGGAAGCAAAAAUUGUGUCAAUUGCUUCUUUAAAUUGCUUCAAUCUUUGAACAUCAGCGUAAGAUAUGAGGCCAGUUGAAUUGGGUGGAACAUUGAGCAAAAGUACACAAUUUCGUCCAGCAGAAUUGUAGUAGAUGUCAAGUAGCUGGCUUAGCUUCUUGGGUGACUCGGAUUUAUGCCAAAACCAUCCCUUUCUGAUGGAAACAUCACACUCUGCUGGUAGCCAAUCUGUCCCUUUUGGAUCACCGGUGUUUAGAUAAUCAACAAUACUACCAUUCCCGAUUGAAAGAGAAGUCCGAUUAAUGGUGGACCAGGAUGUAGUUCCCGCAAAUCCAUUUUCAUUUCCAACCCAUCUGACAUCAGGACCUGCAUCAGAGAAUAUAUUGAUGGAACUCUGAAACUCUUUCACCAUUGCAAACCAAUCUGAGAAAUAAUAUGACAUAUUUGGCGCAUUUGAACCCUUAGCUCCAUCAAACCAGAUCUCUUUCACAUUCCCAUACUUGUUUAGCAGCUCUUGCAACUGAGCCAAGUAGUACUCGUUGUAUGGCAAAUCAUGUCCAUAUCUUCUAUCGUGUCGAUCCCACGGAGAUAGAUACAAUCCCACGUCAACCCCACCAUGAUUCUUGGCUGCAUUCACUAAUUCUCGGACGACAUCUCCAUGGCCGUUCUUCCAUGGACUACUAGCCACAGAAUGGUGAGUGUAUUUACUUGGCCACAAGCAGAACCCGUCGUGGUGUUUUGCAGUUAGUAUCAUCAGAGAGACUCCUGCUGCAGCUGCUGUAUCGACCCAUUGGUUGGCGUCCAGCCCAACCGGGUUAAAAAUGGCCGGAUUCUCAUGGCCAGUGCCCCACUCGGAGUCUGUGAAAGUAUUAACCCCGAAGUGGAGGAACAUGAUGAGCUCCCUCUGUUGCCAUUUCAAUUGGGAAAAUGAUGGGAGUGGUAGGAUUGGCAAUGGUGGUGUUGGGACUAGUUCCCGUUUUGAAAUAACAUUUUUUGGAAGUUGAAAGAAUGUAACUAUGCACAAAAAGCACCAUAGCUUAGCCAUGAUGCCUUUUGCUACUGUGGGUUAUUUAUAUUUAAUGAUGAGAGCAAGAGAGAGA